rnacentral:rRNA from 1 species
AACCAGCACCUCAAGUGGUCAGGAUGAUUAUUGGGCCUAAAGCAUCCGUAGCCGGCUCUGUAAGUUUUCGGUUAAAUCUGUACGCUCAACGUACAGGCUGCCGGGAAUACUGCAGAGCUAGGGAGUGGGAGAGGUAGACGGUACUCGGUAGGAAGGGGUAAAAUCCUUUGAUCUAUUGAUGACCACCUGUGGCGAAAGCAGCCUCCUGGGGUGAAUCUGACAUUGAGGGACGAAAGCGUGGGUAGCAAACCGG